UGGAAAUAAAACUACAUAUAUGCACACAACUGACCUCUGAAACAGUGAAAAUACAAAUAACUUGUUCAAUUGUACAAGAAAUCUUGGCAAAGUCUAAAAGCAUAGGCAGGUUGUUCUCAGCUCCUGAUCUGAGAGUAUGGAAGGAAAGAGUUCCUCAGUCAUGAAGAAUCCUGCUUUUGAAGGGCUGUCUUCCCUGGCAAAACAACAACCUCUGCUAAUGAGCGUGUUUGUUUCUGUGGUACAUCUGGUGAUUUGCUCUUACCACGUCGUUAUGGAGCAGUACGUGCCUGAGCCAUCAGACACCUGAUCAGUAUGCUGCAGUUCAUUUCACCCCAUCU